AUUAACCAUUGUCACUAUGAGGUUCGCUUCGUUUGUGGUGUUUACUGCUUACAUUGCCUGUUCUGUGGCUUUUAAAAAUCGUGUAGGAAUGCGGUGAGCCACAUUCAGAAGUUGGUCUAUGCAAAGCGGGCUUUGACAGAUGAAUCUAUGAUCCAGUUGUCAAUAAAUGCGAGGAGUUUCUCUAUGAAAGAUGUUUUGGAAACGGGAAUAUUUUUUUUAACUCAGCAAGAAUGCGAAGAGCAAUGUCUAUAAUAAUUACUGUGGAUAGCAG